rnacentral:rRNA from 1 species
CCUACGGGAGGCAGCAGUGGGGAAUUUUGGACAAUGGGCGCAAGCCUGAUCCAGCCAUGCCGCGUGCAGGAUGAAGGCCUUCGGGUUGUAAACUGCUUUUGUACGGAACGAAAAGGUCUUUUUAAUAAAGAGGGCCCAUGACGGUACCGUAAGAAUAAGCACCGGCUAACUACGUGCCAGCAGCCGCGGUAAUACGUAGGGUGCAGGCGUUAAUCGGAAUUACUGGGCGUAAAGCGUGCGCAGGCGGUAAUGUAAGACAGAUGUGAAAUCCCCGGGCUCAACCUGGGAACUGCAUUUGUGACUGCAUUGCUGGAGUGCGGCAGAGGGGGAUGGAAUUCCGCGUGUAGCAGUGAAAUGCGUAGAUAUGCGGAGGAACACCGAUGGCGAAGGCAAUCCCCUGGGCCUGCACUGACGCUCAUGCACGAAAGCGUGGGGAGCAAACAGGAUUAGAUACCCUGGUAGUCCACGCCCUAAACGAUGUCAACUGGUUGUUGGGUCUUCAUUGACUCAGUAACGAAGCUAACGCGUGAAGUUGACCGCCUGGGGAGUACGGCCGCAAGGUUGAAACUUAAAGGAAUUGACGG